UUGUUAUUCCUUCUGUAGCAAACUGUCCAUUAAAGCUUAAUACAAAGUAAGGGCUGUCUUCUGAGUUUCAUGUCAGAACUUUUGCAUUGUCGAGCAUUGCUAGCGUGUCUGGAUGUUGUCAAGUUACAGUUCCAUUAGGUUCUCAUAAUGGUGGUUGUGUUUAUGUUUCAUUCAUCUCAUUCCAUGGGGCUGAUAAAUUUCUGCUUGAUACAGUGUUGGAUAUGUAUUGAACUCUUCAAGAGCAAUUUAGUGUUGCCUCCUAUUCUUUGCCAUUACCAGAUACCGAUGGCAACAUUGAAACUUCUGAGCUUCUAAAGGAGAAGGGAAAUGCAGCGUUUAAAGGAAGCCAGUGGAAUAAGGCACUUAAUUACUACACUGAGGCUAUCAAACUGAAUGGCAUGAAUGCGACUUACUACUGUAACCGAGCGGCUGCUUACUUAAAGUUAGCCUAAAUGUGAAGGCGUAUCUAAGACGUGGAGCUGCUAGAGAAUCACUACUACGCUAUAAGGAGGCCUUUGAAGGUCAGUUGGGAUAGGAUGUUAAAAGAUUCCAAAUUUUAAGGGAAAUCAUUCUACCAGGAUAUUUACCUUCAAGAUUGCUGCUUGAGUUGAUUUGGAUCUCUAUAGUAGUGUUUGGUGGAGAGACAGAGACUGAAAGACUGAGACUGAGAGACAGAGACUAAGAGACAGAGACAGAAACAAAUCUCAGUAUUCU